CGGGGUGUAGCUCAGCUUGGAAGAGCGCUGUGUUCGGGUCGCAGAGGCCACGGGUUCAAAUCCCGUCACCCCGA
rnacentral:tRNA from 1 species